UACGUAGGGGGCGAGCGUUGUCCGGAAUUACUGGGUGUAAAGGGCGUGUAGGCGGGGGUGCAAGUUACCGGUAAAAACCCAGGGCUCAACUCUGGGCUUGCCGGUAAAACUGCAUCUCUUGAGUGUAGGAGAGGGAAGUGGAAUUCCCGGAGUAGCGGUGAAAUGCGUAGAUACCGGGAGGAACACCAGUGGCGAAGGCGGCUUCCUGGCCUACAACUGACGCUGAGGCGCGAAAGCUAGGGUAGCGAACGGG
rnacentral:rRNA from 1 species